rnacentral:rRNA from 1 species
AGAGUUUGAUCCUGGCUCAGAGUGAACGCUGGCGGCGUGCCUAAUACAUGCAAGUCGAACGGACAAGUAAGAGCUUGCUCUUAUGAGUUAGUGGCGCACGGGUGAGUAAUGUAUAGUUAAUCUGCCCUACACUGGAGGACAACAGUUAGAAAUGACUGCUAAUACUCCAUACUCCUUCUUAACACAAGUUAAGUCGGGAAAGUUUUUUCGGUGUAGGAUGAGACUAUAUUGUAUCAGCUAGUUGGUGAGGUAAUGGCUCACCAAGGCUAUGACGCAUAACUGGUCUGAGAGGAUGAUCAGUCACACUGGAACUGAGACACGGUCCAGACUCCUACGGGAGGCAGCAGUAGGGAAUAUUGCUCAAUGGGGGAAACCCUGAAGCAGCAACGCCGCGUGGAGGAUGACACUUUUCGGAGCGUAAACUCCUUUUGUUAGGGAAGAACAAUGACGGUACCUAACGAAUAAGCACCGGCUAACUCCGUGCCAGCAGCCGCGGUAAUACGGAGGGUGCAAGCGUUACUCGGAAUCACUGGGCGUAAAGGACGCGUAGGCGGAUUAUCAAGUCUUUUGUGAAAUCUAAUGGCUCAACCAUUAAACUGCUUGAGAAACUGAUAAUCUAGAGUGAGGGAGAGGCAGAUGGAAUUGGUGGUGUAGGGGUAAAAUCCGUAGAGAUCACCAGGAAUACCCAUUGCGAAGGCGAUCUGCUGGAACUUAACUGACGCUAAUGCGUGAAAGCGUGGGGAGCAAACAGGAUUAGAUACCCUGGUAGUCCACGCCUUAAACGAUGUAUACUAGUUGUUGCUGUGCUAGUCAUGGCAGUAAAUGCACCUAACGGAUUAAGUAUACCGCCUGGGGAGUACGGUCGCAAGAUUAAAACUCAAAGGAAUAGACGGGGACCCGCACAAGCGGUGGAGCAUGUGGUUUAAUUCGAAGAUACGCGAAGAACCUUACCUGGGCUUGAUAUCCUAAGAACCUUGUAGAGAUACGAGGGUGCUAGCUUGCUAGAACUUAGUGACAGGUGCUGCACGGCUGUCGUCAGCUCGUGUCGUGAGAUGUUCGGUUAAGUCCGGCAACGAGCGCAACCCACGUAUUUAGUUGCUAACAGUUCGGCUGAGCACUCUAAAUAUACUGCCUUCGUAAGGAGGAGGAAGGUGAGGACGACGUCAAGUCAUCAUGGCCCUUAUGCCCAGGGCGACACACGUGCUACAAUGGCAUAUACAAUGAGACGCAAUAUCGCGAGAUGGAGCAAAUCUAUAAAAUAUGUCCCAGUUCGGAUUGUUCUCUGCAACUCGAGAGCAUGAAGCCGGAAUCGCUAGUAAUCGUAGAUCAGCCAUGCUACGGUGAAUACGUUCCCGGGUCUUGCACACACC